AUUCGAAAUAUUUAAAACAGUGCAGAACAACGACCAGAGAAAUAUGAGGCUUGAAGCUGUGUCUUCCCCUUACUCUUACUCGACUUCACGUUCCUCCUUAAAUGACUGCACCAUUGAGUGCGCGUGCAGGAUUGUACAGCGGCAAUGAAACCUCUUCACAUCUAGGAAAUGUUCAUACUAGACUAUUGUACCUUACAAUUUAUAAUAUACUGUUUUAAUGUAAUGUAAUUUAAUUUUUUUUUAUUUUUAACCAAACCUGCAGACUGAUCACAGAGCCUCAGCACUUCCAUGCUCUUGCACCGAAAUCUAAUAAAGCGCUGUAUUAAAAUGAAGCGCUCGUGCCAUGAAUGCAUGUUUUGUUAUUGUUUAAAUAACUGACAGUUCAGCGUUCAUGCUUUCGAUUUCCCCUCCCGCCUCUGUAAACGAUCCUGCAACCCAAUAGCUUUUAAACAAAUGCACUGUCCAUCCUGCUGCACAAUACCUCCCGCAGCGAUAUGCACAGGACGGUUAUACAGCACUUUAUUUAUUUAUUUGUUUGUUUUCUUUUGGUGUAGUUGUUCAGUAAGCUCGCUGACUGUGGGCACACUGCAACGCAUGCAAAUAAGGUCUACUGAUCGGCAUUACCUGGCUAUACUGAAGUCUCAUUUCACCACACGGCAACAACACAAACACCAGAGCCUACAAUUACUCAUUUCACCACACGGCAACAGCACAACCAUCAGGUGGAGUUAGUGGAUAGAUUAUGAGACAGUGGGCCCCUGGGCACGGACACGCGAAAGGCCCCAUGUCCCCCAGCUCGCUGCCUCGUUUCCUUCAGCCUCCGUGAACCUGAAAAAUAAUGCUGAAACGGCAUCUCCUGCUCUACAUUUCACACUCUCUAGAGUUCUGAGCAUAGCUAAGCGACCUGUACGAAACAUUGUGACUUUUUUCUGAGGGAUAAUAUUGUACAGCUUGUUUUGAAACAGGUUUUUUUUUCCAAAAAAAAAAAAAAAAAUCCUCAAAAUUCAGUACCAGUUAAACUCGCCAAAGUGAGAAAAGUAGUGCAUUCUGAAGAAGAUGCAAAAUAUUGUACAAGAUGUUUUGGAUUAAUACAGGUGUUUAACCAUUUCUAAGAUACUGAAUUUUUUUCUGUACUACAUACACUCACCAUACACUGCACCUUCAUGCAGUUAUCUAAUCAGUCAAACAUGUGGCAGUAUGUGGCAAUGCAAAAAAAAAAAAAAAUCAUGCAGAUAUUGGUCAAGAGCUUCAGUUAACAUUCACAUCAAACAUCAGAAUCAAGAAAAAGUGUGAUCUGUGUGACUUUGAUCGUGGCAUGGAUGCUGGUGCCAGAUGGGCUGGUUUGAGUUUUUCAGGAACUGCUGAUCUCCUGGAAAUUUAACAUACAGAAUAACACAGAAUGGUGCGAGAAACAAAACCAGUAACUAUAGGAUAUAGUAUACUAAAGGAUGUAGUAUAUUAACAUGCUUGGCUGAUUAGAAAACUGCAUGAAUGUUCCUAAUAAAGUGGACGGUGAGUGUAUAUAUAUUAUAGAAUGUGCAUAACAUUUUAUUUUUGUUGUUGCUUUAUUUUAUUUUUUCUAAAUAGAAAAUCAUUCAAAUUCAGUAACAGUUAAAUUUCCCAAAAUGAAAGGUGUAGUGCAUUCUAUAGAAGAUAAUAAUAUAAUUAUGUGUAAUAUUGUACAAGUUGCUUUGGAACAAUGUAUUAAACUAUUCAGAAAUAAAAAAUGAACAUUUAUGGAGUUAAUUUUGUCACUUAUGGAGUAAAAUUUGAAGUUUCAAAUAGAAUAAUAAAAUCCACAAGCAAAAUAUUAAUGAUCAAAAUGUAAAAAAUGGGUCUUAGAAGAAGACGUUCACCUUAAAUCUCUAUUGGUCAACUGAUUUUGGAGUCAGAGGUGCUUUGAAAGUUAACCACGCCCACUCCAUUAAAGGUGCGGAAGGAAAACAAACAAUAUGAGUACUGAAUUGUUUGCAGAUGCAUUCAUGCAUAUAUAUAUCAUACAUCAUACAUUCUUCAUUCCACUCAGUAGCAGUUUAAAAAGAUAACUAGGUGACGAGGCUGCAGCUGGCUUCAUAUUCACCAGUUUCUUAUUCUGAUUUUUGUGUUUGCCUAAUUCCAAUACCAUUAUCUCUUCAUUAUAAAAAUGUCUCAAAAAUCAGACAAUCUGACGUGAAAGCAGCAAUUAAGGGGCCAAGCACUUUCUGUUCCAGAGGAGUGUCUGGGAUUUUAUUUAAUAUAUUUCCUCAUCCCCCUUGAAACUGAUGCCUGGCUACUGCCAACAUCCGAAAUGUUUUAAUUUACUUUAAGACUGUCUGUUUCAAUACUUUUGUGUACCUAAACAUUGGGUGGUCUGCCAUCAAAGGAGCCAGAUACUAAGUUGUUUAACACACCUAGAUGUAAAUAUCAGGAAAUGAAAGUUAAAAUUCUGCUCUAUUGUCUCAUAUAGGUUAAUGGUUAAGGCUCUGGCUUGCUGAGCAGAAGGUUGGGGGUUCAAUUCCUAGCACUGCUAAGCUGCCAUUGUUGAUCCCUUGAGCAAGGCCCUUAACCCUCUCUGUCCCAGGGGUGCUGUAUUGUGACUGACCCUGUGCUCUGACUCCAACUUCCUUACAAGCUGGGAUGUGUGCAGAAAAGAAUUUCACUAUGAUGUAAUCUAUAUGUAACAAAUAAAGGAUUCUUCAUCUACUCAUCUUUUGAUCUCAAACCUAAAUGUCUUCAGGGUAUAGCAAAAACACAAGAAUUGGCCUUGCCGUUCCAAUACUUUUGAGGGAACUGUAGUUACAUUUAAUGUUGUGCAUCAUCUGCAAGACAAGUUAAUUCUUGUUAUCACUUAUGUUAUAGCAGCUAUAAUCAGCUAUUCCCUCUCCAGUAGCUUUUGUUACUAUAUAAAUGAUAAGAUAUUAGAACUAGCACAUUAAUAUAAACCUGUGAUUUGUUUUACAGCGUGCACUGCUGUCAGAGCUGCUGUUACAUAACAGUGCUGGGGUAUAAUAAUCAUUAUUUGAUGCAUUUCCAUUAUCAAUUGUGGAAUUAUCAUUAACCACAUGCCAUAGGAAUGAGUCAGCAUGAAAGGAUCAUUUAUUCUAUGUUCACUUCAUGUUGGAAGGAAAAAAACCUACAUGACAUAGACAGACUAUAAAGCCACAAAUGAACUUGUUAGCAGUAUAAACAAAUGAGACAUGCUUCGAGGUCCUCCAGUGCAGAGGAAAGAGGAAAAUGGACUGUAAUUGCCUUGUCUAUCCACAUAGGCUUUUGUGCAAUGGAUGUGUUCGUGUGUGAGUUUGUGUUGGUGUGAUGGAAAUAUGAAACAUUAUACCCUUAUUUGACCUUGUGAGGGUGUGUGGUUACCAGACAGACAAGCAAAAGUGAUAUGAUAGCUGAUAUUGGAAGUAAUUAUAACAUUCUAUAAUUAUACACCACUGGUUAAUCAUUUCAGUAGGUUUACCUGACCACACUAUUUUUUUGUUUGUCCCCAUUUUAACGGUUAGAGCAUUUGAAUCUGAAAGCUUUAAUGUGCUUUGCUUUUGUUCAGUUUUUUGCUGUGACUGUUAGUGCUGUAAUAUUAUGCAUUAAUUUGUAGUUUGGAAAUAAUGUUUUGUUUUGACUAGAUAAUCAGAGUUGCAGUAUUGUGUCUGCUUGCAAAACCAGCUUGUGUUUUAGUAGGUAGCUGCACUUUAUAGAAGUACAUUAUUUCCUGGCACUGGCACACACACACACACACACACACACACACACAGUACAACAAUAUAAUUGAUAACAAAAUAUAUUACAACAGUAUAAGUUUGAUUUUAAUUUAUUUUAUUUGUUUUAUAUUUAUUGUUACAUGUUUAACAAUAGAGUCCACAAAAUGGCUGUCCUCAAAAUGGGUCCCCUGGUUGCCCUUGGUAACAGUGAGCUAGAGAGAGAGAGAGAGAGAGAGAGAGAGAGAUAAAAAUAGAAGAAAUGGAACUGCAGAGUGCAACACAGGGAGUGUCCUUAGAGUGUGGCAGAGCACAGCCACUGAAAGACUUGAGUUUCCAAAAAGACAAACACAUUUCUGAAGCUUUUUGAAGGAUCUGUGGGUUACAGUUGUACUUUUACCUUCUGUGUGGACUUCUGCGUUGGCCCUAGUAGUACUGAUAUAUUAAUCCAUUAUCAUUGUUCACCUGUUUUUUAGAAAGUAACUGCUAUCUCCAUCCCAGGUUUUUUUUUUUUAAUCUAUUAUUUGACAGAUGUGGAUGGUAUGUGUUCUCAGAAGGGUUACCUUUUUCCUCAAAGGGGCAGGUUGCUUGAUCUUCACAGUUGUCCCUGCUCAAAAUGAUAUACAAAAGUUCCCUGGGAGCCUCUGGAUGAGCCUGAGUGUCAUGUGCUAACUUAUCUUUAGGUUAACAGUGCACUUAUAUGCCUAGAAUCCCAUCUGGCCCAGUUGAUCACUUAGAGUUAAUCUGAAUCUCUCACUUUAUCACAGCACACAAGGUAUUAGUCAUUCACACAAGGUAUUAAUCAUUCGUCAACAAAGACAGAGGAAAAUACAAGUUGGAAGUUGACUGAUGUUUGCUUUGUGAAAGGGGUUGUACCUCCCUUUGGGCACUGAAAAGAUGGAGCUCACUGGACCAGUUAUACCUCCUAAUUGCUUGUAACCACAUUUAUCUACUGUUGGCUUGAAAGGGUGUCCAGUUCUACAGUAUGUGGUAAAAAUGAAUAUGUUCAUGGCCACCUUUCUAAUUUUGACAACCAACACACAUUUUAGAAAACAAAUUCUAGCUUGCUCUUAAAAACCACUAAAGACUACCACUAUGUUUGUGCAACCAGGAGGAGUGGCUAAUGUCAGAGUGACAUUAUUUGUCAUGACAUAAUAUACUAAAUUCUUAUGGCUAUUCAUUGGUUCGCAGUUUUUUUUCCUGUCAAGCCCCCUUCUACCAACUGAAAAAAAAAAAUCAGGUACUUGCCUUUCUUUUAAAGCCUGUCACAAAUUGUUUUUAGCUUGCUAUCUAGGUAAUAUUACCUGUGUAGAGCACCAGCAUUGGGGUUAUUCAACUUGUAAAAAAGCAACAGUCACUGUGUUAACAACUUUCUGUGAAAACAUUACUAUAUUGCCUUCCUUUUACAUUGCAUUCAGUACUGAAGAGAGGACUGAAGACUGUCAUAUCCUCAAGAGGGGGAGGAUAUGACACCGUUACUGUUAUGACACAUAUAUGACACGUAUGUUACUGUUCUUUUUAGAUUUUACUCAGUCUUCAGUCCUCUCUUCAGUACUGACUUAUUCUCAACACUGGACACACACACAAAGUUACAAACCCCCGCAUACCAGCAAAUUCAUCCUUCAGCUUAUGAAUGGCAGCCGUUUAUCAUAAAAAAGCCUUGCCAAAUAGGGCAUCAUUGCAAUUGCAGGGAAAAGGGGGAGAUGCUUGAGCAUAUACAUGCUCUUUGCGGUCCUUUAAAUUCAUACUUUGUCAUUUCAUCAAUGGAAACUAGUAAAUUUGAAACUGAGGUUUUCAAAGUGAAACAUUUGCCUAUUCAUAAGGAAAUCAUUACAAUAUUCUGCCACUCAAACAAUGUCUUCUAUUUACAUGAUUAAAGCAACAAAACCACAUUCAGGAACGUAAAACGUACUUAGGAACGUAAAAGUCACCUUGGGGGCAAACAGAAUCAGGUGUGUUUAAGAGUACGUAACAUGCAAAGGUUAUGUAACAUUUUUGUUGUUAACAUGUAGAUUAGUGUAUGGGGUGUAAAUAUGACUUAAAAUGUGGUGUAUUGUGUUUUAUAUGCACAUACAGCAAAAGAAUAUAAUAAUCCAUAAAGAAGAUAUUCCAUCCAUUAAAAACAGUAUCAGCAUUGUUAUUGUAUUACUAGUGGAAUGCAAAGGAAAAUACAAGAGACUGGUAAAAGGACUUUAUGAAGUGCUGUCAACAUUGUGCUUUCAGCCCAAUUUGAGUAAAACCAAGGAGCUGAUAUUGGACUUUCAAAAGGUCAAAUCAUCCCUCUCCCCCUCACACACACACCUCUUGUAUAGUUUGACCUACUUAACAAUUACAUAGGAGUUCAGAUAACAUUGAUGCAGAUACAGAAGGGGCCAACUGUAUGCGCUGAGAAGACAGAUCCUUUGGAAUCUGCAGAGCAUUUUUAAGGACUUUACAUUAUUUUCCUCACACAUUAUAUUCUUACCAUUGAUCUGCUGUAACACUUUCAUUUCCCCAUGAGGGAUUAAUAAGUUCUUAUGUGUUAUAAGUGAGCCUAAUUUACUUCCUAGUGCACAGGAAUGUUAACCUUUUACAUUCUGAUCACAUUGUGCUGGAAAAUGCAAAUCAGUGUAAAAACAAACCAAAGGGUAUUUUCAUUGUUGAUUCAUAACUGCAUGGAAAUAUCAAUAAUGAUUAACCUUUCCACUCUACAAAAAAAAUCUUCACAGUUAUGAUAUGUUGAAUCUGGAUUCAACCUGUAUUCCAAUAUGUACCUGAGACACUUAUUAUGCUAGAGGGAUAUGUUAGUACUUCACUCCGAGCAUGGUCUGCUGUGACUCCCUUCACAGCACAGUUUGUGUGCACACUUAUAGACAUAGUACAAUAUCUAACAUUUAAUAAUCUAUGCCUAUCAGGACAGAUCAGACUCUGAGACAAAAGGUAAGAGCCCAGCACAAAUUUAUUAGAGGAUUUGGCAAAAACAACAGGUAUGCAAAGACAGUAAACACAAAGAUAAUUACUGCAGGCUGGUGGAUAACACUGGUGGAGUCACUAAACAAAUGAAUGAGGGAAAGGAGCACACACCUCAUGUGUCCUGAAGGAGAAUCGCUGGAGAAACCAUAGGGAGCCGUUAGGACCAUAAGGAGUUUUUCACAGAUACCACUCACAGAUAAGAGGUCUAUUCCUAGUUAAGGCCAGACAAAGUGUGAAUGUGAGGUGUGUGCUUGUAUAGAGUGCUAAUGAGUGUGGUGAAUGGGGACAGGUGGUACUGGUUAGUACACUGGGGAGAGCGGGCACUGACUGUUGGUGACAGAGCCUGGUGUUCCUGUGACCCGAGAAGCUGAUCUUGGCUGUAGGAAUGUAGGAGCUCAGAGAUAUAAGGCAGACAGAUGUCAUGAAUUGCUUUGUAUGUGAGAAAAAAAAAGAGUUUGUAUUUGAUUCUCUGUGAAAUGGUGAGCAAGUGUAGCUUUUGCAGUAUAGGUGUAAUGUGUGCUGAAUAUUUGUUACGAGUAAGGAUUCCAGCAGCUGAAUUUUGAAUAUGUUGAGGUUUGUACUUCACUUUAAAGGUGGCAAUUCUUUACCUAGGACUAUCAUGCAGAUUAAAAAUGGUCAUUUAUUAAAGCUUGUAAUUAAAACUAUUAGUAACAAUUUCUUUUUACAUGUUUUUGUAUGCUAGUUAGGGGUCCAAGCACCAAAGGUGCUGGAACUCUAUUGUUUUUGUUUGGAUUUUUCUUCUUCUUCGCCUCAGUCGCCUCAGGCUUGCUCACUAGGGAUAAUUCUGUCUAACAUCUAGGAUUGUUUGCAUGUUUUUCUUUCUGUUUGCAUGCUUUUUGUUUCUUAUGUUCUGUAAAGCUGCUUUGAGACAAUGUUCAUUGUUAAAAGUGCUAUACAAAUAAAAUUGAAUUGAAUUGAA